rnacentral:rRNA from 1 species
UACGUAGGGGGCCAGCGUUGUCCGGAUUCAUUGGGCGUAAAGCGCGUGUAGGCGGUCCGGUAAGUCCGCUGUGAAAGUCGGGGGCUCAACCCUCGAAUGCCGGUGGAUACUGUCGGGCUAGAGUGCGGAAGAGGCGAGUGGAAUUCCUGGUGUAGCGGUGAAAUGCGCAGAUAUCAGGAGGAACACCAAUUGCGAAGGCAGCUCGCUGGGACGUUACUGACGCUGAGACGCGAAAGCGUGGGGAGCAAACAGG